rnacentral:rRNA from 1 species
UACGUAGGGGGCAAGCGUUGUCCGGAUUUACUGGGCGUAAAGAGCGUGUAGGCGGCCAAACAGGUCCGUUGUGAAAACUGGAGGCUCAACCUCCAGACGUCGACGGAAACCGUGUGGCUAGAGUCCGGAAGAGGAGAGUGGAAUUCCUGGUGUAGCGGUGAAAUGCGCAGAUAUCAGGAAGAACACCAGCGGCGAAGGCAGCUCGCUAGGACGGUACUGACGCUGAGACGCGAAAGCGUGGGGAGCGAACAGG